GCGUUACGUGUAUUGGAACUCAGCUCUCCCUCAACCUCUCAAACGGCGGCGGACAAACUUCCCUCCUUCUCUUCCGGCGAAAACGCGGCGGCACCAGCUUCGGACGACCGCGCGAUGAUGACCUCUCUCACCUCUCUCGAUCUUGACUUUCUCUUUCGCUUCGACUCAAACUCUCAGUUCCCUCCGCUCAACUCGUGCUCGAUUAGUUCUCUCCAAUCUUCCUCGAUCUAAAAUUGGAGAACACCAACUCAAGGCAACCGGAGAUUCGUCCGGUGCGUUCGUUCUGUUGAAGCUGAUGCGCAAAAGGUUGUUGUUGUUGCGUGAUCACGGUGCAGUCGUUAUCGUUGAGUUGAUGCAAUCGUUUCGGAGAAGGUGAUGACGUGAGAUAACUUCGUCAAAGAUUAUUUUGUAAUAUCCUGUGAUUUUCUUGCAGGUUAUCUAUGGUUAAGAAUGUGGCGAGUUGAGGAUUUUUGGAGAUGAACCAAAGGUUUUCUGAUUUUUGUGAUGAAGAUGAAGAACGGUUCUUGUGCUAUUCUGAUUGAAGAUGAUGAACGAAGAAGAGGAUUUGAGAUUGGAGAAAGAUUUUCUUAGAGAAAUUUGUUACAGAGAUUGAUUCAUGGUGAUGUGAAGAGGAGGAGGAGAUUCUGAGAUUUUUUCGAUUGAAGAGAAUGAAGAGGUUGAAGGUUGAAGAACUCUUUGUGAGUUUUCCAGAAAAUUGAGAGAGAAGAAGGUGAAGAUUCAGAGAUGUUGAAGAGAGAAAGAUGUGAAUCGGUGAAGAUGAAGAUUGGAGCCAAAGUUUGUUACAUUUUGGUUAUCGGAUUUGGCUUACGGUUUGAAGUUAACAUGGAGAUUGAAUUGAGAGCCAACUUAGCAUAGGCUUAGACUUUGCUUCUUUGUUUCAGAACUUGUUUCUUUGGAUAUUAACUUCAUGAUGUAAUUUCGACUUUGGGCUCUAACUUGUAAUGGGAUAUAUGAUGUAAUGAAUGGACCUUUGAAUGAUAUGGACACUUUUUGAGAAUUUGAAUUGUAGUGAAUGAUAAAUGGAUAUUG